rnacentral:rRNA from 1 species
CAGGAUUUACUGGGUGUAAAGGGCGCGUAGGUGGGUAAACAAGUCAGAUGUGAAAUACCAGGGCUCAACUCUGGGGCUGCAUUUGAAACUGUUUAUCUUGAGUAUCGGAGAGGCAGGCGGAAUUCCUAGUGUAGCGGUGAAAUGCGUAGAUAUUAGGAGGAACACCAGUGGCGAAGGCGGCUGCUGGACGACAACUGACACUGAGGCGCGAAAGCGUGGGGAGCAAACAGGAUUAGAUACCUGGUAGUCCACGCUGUAAACGAUGAAUACUAGGUGUGGGGGGACUGACCCCCUCCGUGCCGGAGUUAACACAAUAAGUAUUCCACCUGGGGAGUACGGCCGCAAGGUUGAAACUCAAAGGAAUUGACGGGGGCCCGCACAAGCAGUGGAUUAUGUGGUUUAAUUCGACGCAACGCGAAGAACCUUACCAGGGUUUGACAUCCAACUAACGAAGCAGAGAUGCAUUAGGUGCCCUUCGGGGAAAGUUGAGACAGGUGGUGCAUGGUUGUCGUCAGCUCGUGUCGUGAGAUGUUGGGUUAAGUCCCGCAACGAGCGCAACCCUUAUUGCUAGUUGCUACGCAAGAGCACUCUAGCGAGACUGCCGUUGACAAAACGGAGGAAGGUGGGGACGACGUCAAAUCAUCAUGCCCCUUAUGUCCUGGGCUACACACGUAAUACAAUGGUGUUAAACAGAGGGAGGCAAAGCCGCGAGGCAGAGCAAAUCCCUAAAAGGCGUCUCAGUUCGGAUUGCAGGCUGCAACUCGCCUGUAUGAAGUCGGAAUUGCUAGUAAUCGCGGAUCAGC